AUUGAACGCUGGCGGCAGGCCUAACACAUGCAAGUCGAGCGGAGCGGCGGACGGGUGAGUAAUGCCUAGGAAUCUGCCUGGUAGUGGGGGAUAACGACCGGAAACGGGCGCUAAUACCGCAUACUAUCAGAUGAGCCUAGGUGGGAUUGGCUAGUUGGUGGGGUAAGGGCCUACCAAGGCGACGAUCCGUAACUGGCCUGAGAGGAUGAACAGUCACACUGGAACUGAGACACGGUCCAGACUCCUACGGGAGGCAGCAGUGGGGAAUAUUGGACAAUGGGCGCAAGCCUGAUGCAGCCAUGCCGCGUGUGUGAAGAAGGCCUUCGGGUUGUAAAGCACUUUCAGCGGGGAGGCGUUACCCGCAGAAGAAGCACCGGCUAACUCCGUGCCAGCAGCCGCGGUAAUAC
rnacentral:rRNA from 1 species